GAGGAAUGCUUCGUAGAGUUGGGAACCGAACACAUAAUAAUAUUUGCCUUUCCAACUUUAUAUAUCUUCAUUUCCUUAAUUAAUUAGCUUCUGUAACCAUGGCUUACUAUGGUAUCUCCAAGGCCCUGGCAAUCCUGGCUCUCGCACUUGCUUUCUGCGUCCAUGGCGCUCUGAGCGGGGGGGUGGAAUGCGAGAACCUGAAUAAAGACUCGUGCGCGUUCGCCGUAUCAUCCUCCGGCAAACGGUGCUUUCUGGAGAGGUCCGUGAGGAGGAGCGGGGAAGAAGCGUACGAGUGCCGGACGUCGGAGAUCGACGCCGGCGGCAAGCUCAAGGAUUGGGUAGAGAGCCAGCAAUGCGUAGACGACUGCGGGCUGGAGAGGACGGUGCUCGGCAUCUCGUCGGACUCUCUUCUGGAGGCCGACUUCCGGCAGAAGCUCUGCUCGACGCAGUGCUACGGCGGCUGCCUCAAUAUCGUCGACCUCUACUUCAGUCUUGCUGCUGCUGAAGGUAUAUUUCUUCCAAAAUAUUGUGAAGAGCAAGGCGGAAAGGCGAGGAGGGGAAUGGCGGAGAUCAGAAGCUCAGGGCUGACUCUGGCGAGUGGGCCUAUUGAAUCAGGAAGCGCCGACGGCGGCUUUGUCCCUCAUAAGUUGAUGCUUGGACCUGCAAUGCCUCCCUAUAAUUAAUUAAUUAAAUAUAUAUUUAUAUAUAUAUAUUGGGUUUUCAAUCAAGUUGUUAAGGAAUAAUUAUAAGUUAAUUAGCUAGCUGCUUCCUCUUCUUUCGGAGUGCUUUUUGCUUGUGUUUAAUAAAUUUCGCCAUUCUUGUGCGAGACCGUACGUCACCAUUGCAACCAUAUAUAUAGAAUCAAAAAGAAAUUAAGUUGACGUUGGAAUUAGAAAGAAAACAGAUGCUUUCUCCUCUCCUCUACUGUAAUUCAGCAAGUUUAGCAACUUACUGUUGUAUUGUAUUGUAUUGUUUUUAUUGCUUAGAUUGGAUUUGGGUUUGAAUUUGAAUUUGUGUGAAAUAUUUAUAUAUAUAUAUAUAUAUGCUCUCUCAAUGUCUCUCUUAAUAUACAUAUAU